rnacentral:sRNA from 1 species
AGAGUAUCCCGGGAGCAGCACUCGGAAGGCGGGGAGGAGGCUACUUCUGGGAGUGAGAAGGGGUGGAGCCCAGCCUUUCGGGGUGCUGGGGGGUGGGUGGUCCCUGAGGUGCUCAAUCUGGGGGCCCGCAAUUGAAGCCGGGCAGGAGGCGCAGCUGGGGCGCAUCCUCAAAGCCUGAAUUCCGCGCCCGCCUGUUGCUGGAAAAGGCAGCUUCCUUCGCUGGAGGGGGUGCGCCGACCCACCCCUUCCCCCUCCUGCCUGGGCAUCACGCCAGGCUGGAGGUGUGCCCGGAGAGGCUGAGCAGCCUGCGCCUGAGCUGGUGGAGGUUGAAGUGGGCAGCACAGCCCUUCUGAAGUGCGGCCUCUCCCAGUCCCAAGGCGACCUCAGCCAUGUCGACUGGUUUUCUGUCCACAAGGAGAAGCGGACGCUCAUCUUCCGUGUGCGGCAGGGCCAGGGCCAGAGCGAACGUGGGGAGUACGAGCAGCGGCUCAGCCUCCAGGACAGAGGGGCUACUCUGGCCCUGACUCAAGUCACCCCCCACGACGAGCGCAUCUUCUUGUGCCAGGGCAAGCGCCCUCGGUCCCAGGAGUACCGCAUCCAGCUCCGCGUCUACAAAGCUCCGGAGGAGCCAAACAUCCAGGUCAACGCCCUGGGCAUCCCUGUGAACAGUAAGGAGCCUGAGGAGGUCGCUACCUGUGUAGGGAGGAACGGGUACCCCAUUCCUCAAGUCAUCUGGUACAAGAAUGGCCGGCCUCUG